rnacentral:rRNA from 1 species
AGUGAACGCUGGCGGCGUGCCUAAUACAUGCAAGUCGAACGAUGAAGUCCUAGCUUGCUAGGAUGGAUUAGUGGCGCACGGGUGAGUAAUAUAUAGUUAAUCUGCCCUACACAGAGGAACAACAGUUGGAAACGGCUGCUAAUACCUCAUACUCCUAUUUGACAUAAGUUAAAUAGGGAAAGUCUUUUCGGUGUAGGAUGAGACUAUAUCGUAUCAGCUAGUUGGUAAGGUAAUGGCUUACCAAGGCUAUGACGCGUAACUGGUCUGAGAGGAUGAUCAGUCACAUUGGAACUGAGACACGGUCCAAACUCCUACGGGAGGCAGCAGUAAGGAAUAUUGCGCAAUGGGGGAAACCCUGACGCAGCAACGCCGCGUGGAGGAUGACACUUUUCGGAGCGUAAACUCCUUUUAUCAGGAAAGAAUAAUGACGGUACCUGAUGAAUAAGCACCGGCUAACUCCGUGCCAGCAGCCGCGGUAAUACGGGGGGUGCAAGCGUUACUCGGAAUCACUGGGCGUAAAGGACGCGUAGGCGGAUUAUCAAGUCUUUUGUGAAAUCUAGUGGCUUAACCACUAAACUGCUUAGGAAACUGAUAGUCUAGAGUAGGGGAGAGGUAGAUGGAAUUCUUGGUGUAGGGGUAAAAUCCGUAGAGAUCAAGAAGAAUACCCAUUGCGAAAGCGAUCUGCUGGAACCUAACUGACGCUGAGGCGUGAAAGCGUGGGUAGCAAACAGG